UACGUAGGGGGCUAGCGUUGUCCGGAAUCAUUGGGCGUAAAGCGCGUGUAGGCGGCCCGGUAAGUCCGCUGUGAAAGUCGGGGGCUCAACCCUCGGAUGCCGGUGGAUACUGUCGGGCUAGAGUGCGGAAGAGGCGAGUGGAAUUCCUGGUGUAGCGGUGAAAUGCGUAGAUAUCCGGAGGAACACCGGUGGCGAAGGCGGCUUCCUGGACCGAUUACUGACGCUGAGGCGCGAAAGCUAGGGGAGCAAACGGG
rnacentral:rRNA from 1 species